rnacentral:lncRNA from 1 species
UCGAGAUGAUCAAUCAAAAAGUUUUUCAACAUUAAAACUACCUUUUCCAAUUGAUGUUUGAAGGGCAUCCGUAGUUCUACAUUAUAAGGUUGCAUCUUUAUAUAAACUUUUUCCUUCAUUUAGAGCUCCAAAAAUGAUGUACAUCUAUGACCUUUGAAGAAUUGAAAUCAACUGUACGAAAAAGUAACACAAUGAAACAAUGAAGCAUUUGAAGUUUCAUAAAAUUCACUUUUUGUUUCAUAGUUUUUGAAAUGAUAGACCUAUAGAGUUUGGACACAAAAUCCAUUUGGGAGAGAGAUUUUUGGAAGUGGACACAAUGCAUGAUAUUCGCCACCUAGACAUUACCCAUUAUUAAAAUGAUUAUUAAAAUUGUUUUUCUUGAUAGGAGACAAGGUU